UUCUGGCUCAGGAUGAACGCUAGCGGCAGGCUUAACACAUGCAAGCAGGGGCAUCGGGAGUAGCAAUACUUGCCGGCGACCGGCGCAAGGGUGCGUAACGCGUGAGCAACAUGCCCGUAUCAGGGGGAUAAUCCAUGGAAACGUGGUCUAAUACCCCAUAGUAAUUAUGUAAGGCAUCUUAUAUAAUUUAAAGCUUUGGUGGAUACGGAUUGGCUCGCGUGACAUUAGCUAGAUGGUAAGGUAACGGCUUACCAUGGCUACGAUGUCUAGGGGUUCUGAGAGGAAGGUCCCCCCACACUGGAACUGAGACACGGUCCAGACUCCUACGGGAGGCAGCAGUGAGGAAUAUUGGACAAUGGAUGGAAAUCUGAUCCAGCCAUGCCGCGUGCAGGAAAAGACGGCCCUAUGGGUUGUAAACUGCUUUUGUAUGGGAGCAAUAAGGGCUACGCGUAGUCCGAUGAGAGUACCAUACGAAUAAGCACCGGCUAACUCCGUGCCAGCAGCAGC
rnacentral:rRNA from 1 species